rnacentral:pre_miRNA from 1 species
CUGAUACUCCCUCCGUCUAGCAAUACUUGUCGGAGAAAUGGAUGUAUCUAGACGUAGUUUAGUUAUAGAUACAUCCAUUUUUAUGCAUUUCUUCGAUGAGUAUUUCCGGACGGAUGAGUACUAU